rnacentral:rRNA from 1 species
AUUGAACGCUGGCGGCAUGCCUUACACAUGCAAGUCGAACGGCAGCACGGGAGCAAUCCUGGUGGCGAGUGGCGAACGGGUGAGUAAUACAUCGGAACGUGCCCAAUCGUGGGGGAUAACGCUGCGAAAGCUGUGCUAAUACCGCAUAAGAUCUACGGAUGAAAGCAGGGGACCGCAAGGCCUUGCGCGAAUGGAGCGGC